rnacentral:rRNA from 1 species
AUACGGAGGAUCCGAGCGUUAUCCGGAUUUAUUGGGUUUAAAGGGAGCGUAGGUGGACAGUUAAGUCAGUUGUGAAAGUUUGCGGCUCAACCGUAAAAUUGCAGUUGAUACUGGCUGUCUUGAGUACAGUAGAGGUGGGCGGAAUUCGUGGUGUAGCGGUGAAAUGCUUAGAUAUAAGGAAGAACUCCGAUUGCGAAGGCAGCUCACUGGACAGCAACGGACACUGAUGCUCGAAAGUGUGGGUAACAAACAGGAUUAGAUACCCUGUUAGUCCACACAGUAAACGAUGAAAGCUCGCUGUUUGCUAUAUACAGUAAGCGGCCAAGCGAAAGCAUUAAGUAUUCCGCCUGGGGAGUACGCCGGCAACGGUGAAACUCAAAGGAAUUGACGGGG